UAACAGUUAUUCCUUCCGCCGCAUCAAAGAGGAUAUAUAAACCUCUCUCUAUUUUCUAUCUAUCUACACAUUUUCAUCUCAUCUCUUUCUUUCUCCUCUCCAACCCUACCAUAUCAACAUUUCUAAUGCUAUUCACACUCUUCACUGCAACUGCUCUGCAUCAGAUCAGAAUUGUUCAACACAUGGCCUCCACUCUUCAAUGGGAAUCAUAGCAAUGACUCCUUCGGCUUCGCCAUCACUCUCUACUGUGAUUUCCUUGAUUAAUCAGUUACGAAGUCUCUGUCUUACUGUCUUAAGGGUGAGUCUCUGUCUUAAGGGUGACGUAACUUUAUUUUAUUUAUUAAGACCAACCGUUUGAAUUAUGCUUGUGGUACUAGUAGAUUAUUGUAUCAUCUUAUUUAGAUUUUUGUGUUAUUUUUUUCAUGAUAAAAAUCUUAUCUUAUUGAUUUAGGGUAAGUUUAGGGUAAGUGAGAAUGGAUUGUUGGUACUAGUAGAUUAUUGUAUCAUCUUAUUUAGAUUUUUGUGUUAUUUUUUUCAUGAUAAAAAUCUUAUCUUAGAUAAUGAUAUUGAUUUAG
rnacentral:lncRNA from 1 species